rnacentral:tRNA from 1 species
AUGGCCGAAGUUGAAGUGGACGACACGCCGGGUCGUGGCCCCGGAAGAAGCCGGUUCGAGUCCGGCCGGCC